rnacentral:rRNA from 1 species
GAUGAACGCUGGCGGCGUGCCUAAUACAUGCAAGUCGAGCGAACGGACGAGAAGCUUGCUUCUCUGAUGUUAGCGGCGGACGGGUGAGUAACACGUGGAUAACCUACCUAUAAGGCUGGGAUAACUUCGGGAAACCGGAGCUAAUACCGGAUAAUAUUUUGAACCGCAUGGUUCAAAAGUGAAAGACGGUCUUGCUGUCACUUAUAGAUGGAUCAGCGCUGCAUUAGCUAGUUGGUAAGGUAACGGCUUACCAAGGCAACGAUGCAUAGCCGACCUGAGAGGGUGAUCGGCCACACUGGAACUGAGACACGGUCCAGACUCCUACGGGAGGCAGCAGUAGGGAAUCUUCCGCAAUGGGCGAAAGCCUGACGGAGCAACGCCGCGUGAGUGAUGAAGGUCUUCGGAUCGUAAAACUCUGUUAUUAGGGAAGAACAUAUGUGUAAGUAACUGUGCACAUCUUGACGGUACCUAAUCAGAAAGCCACGGCUAACUACGUG